CUAAAGCAUUCCACUUCAGGAACUGGAAGAUUGAAAGCAUCAUAGGCUUACAGUAUUCUGUGAUCAUUAAUUGCACGCCUUUGAAGCAAGUUCCAGCCUGAUAGGUGCAUUUGAAGAGUUAACUGCACAAAAGCAGGAGAAAAUGAAAAAACACUGGACUCCUUCAGACUUCAGCAGCAAUGGAUUGAAAUAGUGAACAUGGUGUUUAGUGAUGAACAGAGUUAUAAGACCUCUUUCUAUCUACUGCCUGAACAGAGAAGUAACUAUAAAUCUUUCCAAUAUCAAAAAGGAGAGAAAAACAAGGAAUGUAUCAAGACUACAAAAGAGACAUUACAGUCUCUUUUAGUAAUAAUCUGGAGUGAUACGAGACCAAGCCAAGAGGGAAGAUUAAUGUCUGUCAACUUCAUAAUCUGAUCCAGUUAUUUAGAAGACAUCUUUAUUCUCUUGGACAGAAGCAACUCUUUUCAGAUGUUCUAAAAUGCCCAUGGAAGGAGAGGCGCGACCAAGUGGACAUUAUUACUUCUGCUUCUGGCCUGCCUGCGUUCAGGUUACUCUCCUUCAACUGCUCCUCCCUCAAAAGGCUCAUUAAAAGUGCUGUUGUUAGUCAUUAGGUUUGUAAUGUGACAUCUGAGAUUAAUGCUUGGCACAUAUGGUACUUGAAAGCAUUUGCACAUUUUAAGUACGUGUGCAUUCCUUUCUAAAGUUUUUUAAUAGCUGUCAGUAUCAACAUUUUGUGACAAAGAAAAAUAUGAAAACCCACUAUAUUGAAUGCAUCUGGCUUGUUCCUUGUGACAGGUCAAAACCAGCAAAGGGAAUUGUGUAUGAAAGCUUUUUUUUUCUUCAUAAAACAAGCAAAUAAACAAAGCUUCUUUCUCUGUGAAAGCUUUUCUUCCAUAAAUGUUUUUGAAGAAAAGUCAUGUUUCUCCUCCCAUAA